rnacentral:lncRNA from 1 species
UUCAGGUGGUGUUUGUUUCCAGGGACUUUUUGUGGUAGGGACUAAAAAAGUCCCAAAAAGUCCCAUGUGAAACAAACAGGAAUGACUAUUAGGGACUAAAGUGGGGUGUUUGGGACUAUUUGGAGAAGUACCUAUGUGAGGGAUUUUUUAGCACUUUUUCCAACAAUGCUCCUACUUUUAGCAUGUAAUUUAAUAACUACUACUACAUUACAAAGGAUAAC